rnacentral:rRNA from 1 species
AUUGAACGCUGGCGGCAGGCCUAACACAUGCAAGUCGAGCGGAGCGGCGGUGGGGUGAGUAAUGCCUAGGAUUCUGCCUGGUAGUGGGGGAUAACGUCUGGAAACGGGCGCUAAUACCGAAUAUUAUCAGUUGAGCUUAGGUCGGAGUAGCUAGUUGGUGGGGUAAAGGCCUACUAAGGCGACGACCCGUAUCUGGACUGUGAGGAUGAUCAGGCAGCCUGGAACUGAGACACGUUCCAGACUCCUACGGGAGGCAGCAGUGGGGAAUUUUGGACAAUGGGCGAAAGCCUGAUCCAGCCAUGCCGCUGGUGUGAAGAAGGUCUUCGGAUUGUAAAGCACUUUAAGUUGGGAGGCGUUACCAACAGAAUAAGCACCGGCUAACUACGUGCCAGCAGCCGCGGUAAUAC